rnacentral:rRNA from 1 species
UACGUAGGGACCAAGCGUUGUUCGGAUUUACUGGGCGUAAAGGGCGCGUAGGCGGCGUGGUAAGUCACUUGUGAAAUCUCUGAGCUUAACUCAGAACGGUCAAGUGAUACUGCUGUGCUAGAGUGCGGAAGGGGCAAUCGGAAUUCUUGGUGUAGCGGUGAAAUGCGUAGAUAUCGCUUGGAACGCCAAAGGUGAAAACAGGUUGCUGGGGUUGUGCCGACGCUGAGACACGAAAGCCAGGGGAGCAAACGGG